rnacentral:lncRNA from 10 species
CAGCCUGGGGUACAGAGUGAGACUCUGGUCUCAAAAAAAAAAAAUUAAAAAAGAAAACCUGACCUGUUAACUGAGUACAUUUAAAGAGAAGCAGUGAGUAAUUCAUAUUUGCACACUUAGCAAUAUUUUUUACGAAUAGGAAAAUUAGCCACUUUCAUGUUAUUAAGUAUAAAUCAGGAAUGUGUAUAAAUGAAAGCAAACAUCACUGUGAAACAAAAGCUCUAAUCUCCACUUGUUCUGCCUUAAAGCCUUUUCCUUCAACUCUUGAAAAGCCCUUUCGUUUUUUCCCUCACCCUGAUUGCAGGUAAAACAUGACAAUCAAUCUUGCUUUGUGCUCCAUCCUGUACUGGAAGCAGAAAGACUCCACCGUUCCUUUGAUAUCAGCCAUCCCCUGAGAUUACUCCUACUCAACAAUGCGGCUCUUUCCUUGAGAACGGCCUUCAAAAUCCUUAUUCCUUUGUUAGUGAUAAUUCCUUGUACGAUGUGAUUUUUCUUAAUGCUAGCUAGGAUUGUGGUCUGGGUAUUGCAGCAUUUUGAAAUUAAAAUUGUGCUGAAGGGAGAUUUAUUUUCUCAACAGACAUCUUUCUACAGUGGAAAUACUUUUCGUUUUGAAAAAUGAGUAUAUGACCUUAUAAAGACUCAAAGUUAACACCAAAAUACUAAUUGCACAGACAUUUCUCUGAGAUUGAUAGAGUGACCGUAUUUUGUUAAGUGCCUAAGGGAGUGCGGUUUUCACAGUGAAUUCUCAAUAAACAUAUUUGAGGGUCUCUGUUGAGUGCGCAAAAUAUCGAUGAAAGCCAAGUCAUAAAGGAUCAGGCUUCAC